AUGUUCCUCAGCUCCACUCUCUGUUCCACCACCAUGUUCCUCAGCUCCUCUCUCAGUUCCACCACCAUGUUCCUCAGCUCCUCUCUCUGUUCCACCACCAUGUUCCUCAGCUCCACUCUGUUCCACCACCAUGUUCCUCAGCUCCUCUCUCAGUUCCACCACCAUGUUCCUCAACUCCACUCUGUUCCACCACCAUGUUCCUCAGCUCCACUCUCUGGUCUACCACCAUGUUCCUCAGCUCCACCACCAUGUUACUCAGCUCCACUCUCUGUUCCACCACCAUGUUCCUCAGCUCCACUCUUUGGUCCACCACCAUGUUCCUCAGCUCCACUCUUUGGUUCACCACCAUGUUCCUCAGCUCCACUCUUUGGUUCACCACCAUGUUCCUCAGCUCCACUCUCUGUUCCACCACCAUGUUCCUCAGCUCCACUCUCUGUUCCACCAUCAUGUUCCUCAGCUCCACCACCAUGUUCCUCAGCUCCACUCUCUGAUCCACCACCAUGUCCCUCAGCUCCACUCUCUGUUUCACCACCAUGUUCCUCAGCUCCACUCUCUGGUUCACCACCAUGUUCCUCAGCUCCACUCUCUGUUCCACCACCAUGUUCCUCAGCUCCACUCUCUGUUCCACCAUCAUGUUCCUCAGCUCCACUCUCUGUUCCACCACCAUGUUCCUCAGCUCCACUCUGUUACACCACCAUGUUCCUCAACUCCACUCUCUGUUCCACCACCAUGUUCCUCUGCUCCACUCUCUGGUCCACCACCAUGUUCCUCUGCUCCACUCUCUGGUCCACCACCAUGUUCCUCAGCUCCACUCUCUGGUUCACCACCAUGUUCCUCAGCUCCACUCUCUGUUCCACCACCAUGUUCCUCAGCUCCACUCUCUGUUCCACCAUCAUGUUCCUCAGCUCCACUCUCUGUUCCACCACCAUGUUCCUCAGCUCCACUCUGUUACACCACCAUGUUCCUCAACUCCACUCUCUGUUCCACCACCAUGUUCCUCUGCUCCACUCUCUGGUCCACCACCAUGUUCCUCUGCUCCACUCUCUGGUCCACCACCAUGUUCCUCUGCUCCACUCUCUGGUCCACCACCAUGUUCCUCUGCUCCACUCUCUGGUCCACCACCAUGUUCCUCUGCUCCACUCUCUGGUCCACCACCAUGUUCCUCUGCUCCACUCUCUGGUCCACCACCAUGUUCCUCUGCUCCACUCUCUGGUCCACCACCAUGUUCCUCUGCUCCACUCUCUGGUCCACCACCAUGUUCCUCUGCUCCACUCUCUGGUCCACCACCAUGUUCCUCUGCUCCACUCUCUGGUCCACCACCAUGUUCCUCUGCUCCACUCUCUGGUCCACCACCAUGUUCCUCUGCUCCACUCUCUGGUCCACCACCAUGUUCCUCAGCUCCACUCUCUGGUCCACCACCAUGUUCCUCAGCUCCACUCAGUUCCACCACCAUGUUCCUCAGCUCCACUCUCUGGUCCACCACCAUGUUCCUCAGCUCCACUCUGUUCCACCACCAUGUUCCUCAGCUCCACUCUCUGUUCCACCACCAUGUUCCUCAGCUCCACUCUCUGUUCCACCACCAUGUUCCUCAGCUACACUCUGUUCCACCACCAUGUCUCUCAGCACCUUCAGUUCAGUGCAAUGUCAGGCUAG
ensembl:lncRNA